AUUGAACGCUGGCGGCAGGCCUAACACAUGCAAGUCGAGCGGAACGGCGGACGGGUGAGUAAUGCCUAGGAAUCUGCCUGCUAGUGGGGGAUAACGUCCGGAAACGGGCGCUGAUACCUCAUACUAUCAGUCGAGCCUUGGUCGGUUUAGCUAGUUGGUGGGGUAAAGGCCUACAAAGGCGACGAUCCGUAACUGGUCUGAGAGGAUGACCAGUAACAUUGGAAUGGAGCCACGGCCCAGCACCCUCGGGGGGGAAGCAGUGGGGAACAUCGGACAAUGGGCAAAAGCUUAAGGCAGCCAUGCCGGGUGUGUGAGGAAGGUUUCGGGAUUGAAAAGCACUUUAAGCUGGGAGACGUUACCGAAAGAAUAAGCACCGGCUAACUACGUGCCAGCAGCCGCGGUAAUUC
rnacentral:rRNA from 1 species